rnacentral:sRNA from 1 species
AAAGGCCUCUGGGUAGAGCUGUUGACUGGGAGUAGCGCGAGGAAAAGAAGGGCGCUGGGUGAAGCAGUUGCUCAGACUCCAUAAGUGUGUGUCCAGAUCUACCAUCACAUAGUGAGGAAAUCAGUGGCUUGAAAUAGAAAUUUAUUAUCUAGCACCAAAGAGCUGAGUGAAAAAAAGGAAAAGAAACAUGACUGCUGCUAGGUCACAGCAAUCCUGCUGCUUCAUUACCAAAUUCAGUGGGCAACUCUCGGUAAUAUCAUGCCGGUCCUAGCAUUGGCACAGUGUAUCACUCACCUUCUGUGAUGCUGUGUUCAGCUGUUCCUGGUGAUCCACUCUUGACUUUACAUCAUGUCCCAGUGGCUACUUCUGAAUCCUGCUUGCUGGGACUCCUGUCUGAGAUUAUUUCUUCUGCUGCAAAAAGAAUACUCAAGGUGUAGCAGUGGAAAUAGAAAACUUCAGUAGUAAACUUGGAUUGGGAAGUCCUAACCUGUAUCUAUAUGGGCACACGAACACAGAUGAAUAAGAAGAUCAAGAGAUCACUCCUGAACCCCAGGUGCACAGACAAUUGUUCGCUACCCACGUGGUUACUGGGAAUCGAAGUGUACAGUGCUGAGCCAUCUAUCCAGCCCCCUGACUCAGGAUCUCAGGCAGUGGUGAAAUCUAAGGUCCAAAAAAGAUACAAUUUUCUCAAGGCAUUGUGACAAUUCCAGUAGCAGAGUGGCCAGACAACAUUUUUGACUUCUUGUCUUCUACCUAAGUUUUCUUAUGGAGACCCCGCAGCAGCAUGACAGAGGACUGUGAUGCUCCCAGGUGAUCUGUCUGGAACAGACAUCACUGUGUCUGAGACAUAGAGAAAAGAGGAUGAGUUACAGAUCCCUGCAGAGUACACACACAGGAACUUUUGGCUGUGCUCAUAUGGACCAUAGGUAUCAGAUAUGGGCCAGGAAUGGAGUCCUGUGAGAAGACUUCUGAGUGCUUGUGAGAAUAUUCCUAAAAAUCCAGACAAAAAGCCUUGGGAUCAAAGUUUCUUCAAGAUACCAAAUUGUCCAUAGACAGUGUUUUCAUGAUCCUCUCUGGUGUUUUGGAUAGCAAUGAGUUUACUUCAGAUUGCUCAUUUUUGCUUGCUGGUGUAAUUUAAUUAAGUUUUUAAAUGACCCUUUAUAUGCCUUUAUGGAAAAACAUAAUUUGGCACCUUGUAGCUAGUGCUUGUGUUCUUGUGAUUGUACACAACUUGAACUCAGGAGUAUUAUAUGUUUAAUUUCAGAGUAAUGUGUCUAUAUAUGUGUGUGUAAAUAUAUAUGUAUAUAUAUACACACACACGUAUAUAUAAUAUGAGGCUUUGAAUGAAGAUGGCUUUAGCAUAAGACUUUCAUAUACCUUAUCUAGGGCUCCAUUCUCCUAGGUCCACUGCCUAUAGAGCAGUGGCAGACAGGUGUGAAUAAACUGGGGAAACAAAGCCCAGAGGCAGGAGGAACGCCUUGAAAACCAC